GUGCUCGCUUUGGCAGCGCAUAUGCUAAAACUGGAAUGGUACAGAGAACAUUAGCAUGGUCCCUGCUCAAGGAUGACGUGCAAAUUCACAAAGCAUUCCAUAUUUUU
ensembl:snRNA U6 U6 spliceosomal RNA